rnacentral:rRNA from 1 species
CGUCCAGACUCCUACGGGAGGCAGCAGUGAGGAAUAUUGGUCAAUGGGCUUACGCCUGAACCAGCCAAGUCGCGUGAGGGAAGACUGCCCUAUGGGUUGUAAACCUCUUUUGUCAGGGAGCAAUUGGCGCUACGUGUAGCGUUAUCGAGAGUACCUGAAGAAAAAGCAUCGGCUAACUCCGUGCCAGCAGCCGCGGUAAUACGGAGGAUGCGAGCGUUAUCCGGAUUUAUUGGGUUUAAAGGGUGCGUAGGCGGAAUGCCAAGUCAGCGGUAAAAUCGCGGGGCUCAACCUCGCUCCGCCGUUGAAACUGGCGUUCUUGAGUGGGCGAGAAGUAUGCGGAAUAAAAAAAAAAAAAAAAAAAAAAAAAAAAAAAAAGCAGAACUCCGAUUGCGAAGGCAGCAUACCGGCGCCCAACUGACGCUGAAGCACGAAAGCGUGGGUAUCGAACAGGAUUAGAUACCCGUGUAAU